UCGAAGGCCUGUCCCAGUUCGGACUGGAGUCUGCAACCCGACUCCACGAAGUUGGAUUCGCUAGUAAUCGCGCAUCAGCCAUGGCGCGGUGAAUACGUUCCCGGGCCUUGUACACACCGCCCGUCAAGCCAUGGGAGCCGGGGGCGCCUGAAGUCCGGGACCGCGAGGACCGGCCUAGGGCGAAACUGGUAACUGGGGCUAAGUCGUAACAAGGUACC
rnacentral:rRNA from 1 species